UUGUCAACGUGAAAAAUUACAAACCUGAGUCACUACUUGACUCACGCGAAAGAAAUGACAGAAUUCUCUGUUCUGAAAAUUUAUUAACACUUCUUCCUGAGUUUGGAUUAUUCCUUUGUUCUAAAAUACAAACUAUAUUAAAGGAGAGGAAAAAGAAGAGAGAACGUGUGAGAAAUAGGGUGUGUUGCAUACAUUGCUUUGCGUCUUGGCACCUUCACCUUGGCAUUUUCCCAACCCACACAAACUUACUCAUGGUGCCACACUGGCCAACGCUCGUUGGAAAACUCACAAGCACAUACGCGCUCACACUCUUGCACUUGUAUUUUACUACUGAUGGAGAAAUCUACCAGGCUUUUUAUCAAGAGGGAAGCGGGUGAUAAUAUUAUGUGGUGAGCGUUAUUUUUAACUGGCGGGCUAAAUCAAUUUCUCUCUCUCUCUCUCCCACUCUCUCUCUCUCUCUCUCUCUCUCUCUCUCUCUCUCUCUCUCUCUCUCUCUCUCUCUCUCUCUCUCUCUCUCUCUCUCUCACUCUCUCUCUCUCUCUUGUAAUACCGUCUGAUGUAGGGAGACUAAGCUAGUGUUAUAUAUAUAUAUUUUUUUUUAAGAUUGAAAUUAAACGUUCAUAUUUUGGUAAGGGAACAGUGUAUGCUCAUUAAUGCUCACUUUGAUUGGGCAUUUCCGGAAUCCAGAAACAAGUUAUCACUAAUAACAUUUAGACUAUAAACUUUGUUGGUUGAUGUAAUUCAUUUUCAUGCAUACUCACUCAGGUGAUGAGAGAAAAUUAUUACUUAACAAUAACAUUUAGACUUUAAACAUGAGUCGAUGUAAUUCAUUUACAUGCGUACUCGGGUGACGAGGGAAAACAGGAAGUACUGAAGAUAUAUAUUGAACCGGCGACAAAUCAACAAACAUUUGGUAUUUUACUUGACGGUCCUUGCGAAGUUGCGAAUGUAAACACUCCUGACUUUGAGUUCGACAGGACAAGUCUUGUUGUUUGUGACAGAUAUUCGUAUUUGUUUUUAAGUUUAAUCCGACUUAAACUUAUAGAGGGACCGAUUCAAAUAAUUGUUAUUGUUGGUGCUUUAGUGGCAGUUGUCAAUGUGACAGAACUUCAGAUUUGGGGCCAUUGACUUGAAAUUCACCCUUCAAAAGAAUAUGGAAUUCUUUCGAAAGAAAGCAAGGAAUGAAGAAUGCAGAAAAAGAGAGAAAUCAAGACAUUAAUAGCAAAACGGUGAAAUUGGCAAGUGUCAUCCCAGAAGGCCUUGGAAAAACAAGCAGCAAGGGAAAUAAGGGACAUGGAAUAUGUAUAAUUAGACCCUCAAAGUAGUGAGCAUCUGGAACACUAGUACUGUAUAGUAGCCACAGGAUCUGCAAAUGAAUGAGGAACCUCGCCAGAAUCUUCUCAGUGUGGCAUAAGUAAAAUUCACUGAUAAUAAAUUAGUAUAUUUACAAAUUUCAGGAGUCUGGUAAAUAUUUAAAUUACAGAUUCAGAUAGAUUUUACUGACCACUUGAUUUGUGUGGUAGGCUCCCAGUUACUAGCCUUUCAUUUUUGUGUUUUCAAAAGAAGACUAAUUUUGAUUUAGGAGGAAUAUGCAGUGCCCUUGAUUACAAUCUGUUUUACAGGUACUACCAUAAUAUGUAUC